GUUGUUACUGUUACAUUGAUAAAAGGUUGGUUAGCCAAGUUAGUUAGUGAAGUUAGUGGAGGCACCAAGUUAGUGGCUGCUGAUUAGAUUAGUUAUCCAAGUUGUUAGAGUUAGUUAGGAAUGUUCUAGAAGCUCAUGUGACAUACAUGUGAGCCUAUAAAUAGCAACCAUGCUCCCCUCAUUGUAUACUCUCACCAUUUGAAUAACAAUCUCUUAGCACUUUCCUUUUUGCUCUUCUCUGCUUCAAUGGCUUCUGUGUGUGUGAGAGCAUUGUAAUGCAUCAGUUUAACAUGGUAUCAGAACAACGAUCCAUGAAGGUUUAGAGAAAGUAUCAAUACUCCAUUUUAUUUUGGAUUUUGUGCUACUAUCAGUAGGGAGAAAGUAGAUCUCUGUUUUGUAAGCUGGAGUUGGAAUUCUAAGUAAGAAAGUAAUGCACCUACGAUUGAUCCUACAGAUCCUUUGUUUCUGGGAGCAUCGGAUGUUGCUGGUGCUGCAUUGAUUCCAAUUAAGUUGAUUGGAUCAGAAAAUUAUGGAAUCUGGAGUAGAUCCAUGAAAAUUGCAUUACUAGGCAAACGAAAAUAUGGUUUUGUGACUGGCAUGUGCAGAAAGGAUAUGUAUAGAGAAGAUCUACAUGAGCAAUCGGAGACAUGUAAUGCAGUUGUGUUGUUUUGGUUGGUGAGUUCAGUAAGUGUUGAGUUGCUGAGUGGCAUUGUGUAUGCCACAAGUGCAUUUGAAGUAUAGGAAGAUCUCAAGGAAAGGUUUGACAAGGUUAACAGAAUGAGAUUGUAUCAAUUGCACAGAGAAAUCAACAAUCUUCAUCAAGGAACUGAUUCUGUUUCUACAUACUUUACUAAGCUAAAAACUUUCUGGUGUAAGUAUAAUGUUGUAAGUAUAGUGUUGUGAUCCCAGCACCAUCUUGUCAUUGUGCCAAGUCCAAAGACUAUGCAGAUCACUUAAUUCAACAAAGGUUGACACAGUUUUUGAUUGGGUUGAAUGAACAUUAUGAUCAAGCUAAGAGGCAGAUACUCAUGAAAGGAUUGACACCUACUCUUAAUCAAGCAUAUGCAAUGAUAGUUGAGGAUGAGAUUCAGCAGCUGGCUUGUACUGCAGUAACUAGUGAUAAAACCGAUCCCAUAGCUAUGCAGGUAAACAAAAAUUUUGCAGAAACAAGUCAUAGUGGUCAAGGUUAUAAAGGGAAGAGGUGUGAUUACCGUCAUCUAAAUGGACACAAUAGAGAUGCUUGUUAUAAGUUGAUAGGAUAUCCUGCAGAUUGGAAAUGGAAAUAUAAGAAGAAAGGAAACUAUAAUAGCAAUCCAAGGGGAUCAUAUCAGUCAAGAUCCAGUGAAUAUGGAUAUUAGGCCAUAUGGAUAUUAGGCCACAGGAUAAUCUAACAAUCAGUUCUCAGCUCAUAGCUCAUAACUUCACUGGGAACCAGUGAGGAGAGAUCACAAGUUACACAAAUAUAACAGGCUCAUCUAGUGGUCAAGGUGGUCAAGGGAACAAGGAUAUCAAUAAUGCAGUGGUAGCCAAAGCACAAGGUUUCUCAAAUGAAGAGUACAGACAGAUCAUGGCAUUGUUGAACAAAGAUGCACAUGAUUCAAAGCAGGUCAACAAGUCAGGUAUAGUUACUUGUCUAUCAACACAUGUUGUUCCACAUGAAUGGGUGAUAGAUUCUGGUGCAACACAUAAAGGUGUAUUUUCACAGUGCCAUAAAGUAGUUAAUACAAAAAAAAGAAAUGGUGAAUCUUCCUAAUAGAGCCAAGGCAAACAUUUCACACAUUGGAGAAACACAAAUCCUAAAUGAUGAAACUAUUAGUGAUGUAUUGUUUGUUCCGGACUUUAAACUCAAUCUGUUAUCAGUAUCAAAAAUGACCAAACAGCUUUCAUGCUUUGUGUCAUUCUACCCUGAUUUCUGUGUAUUUCAGGACCUUCACACUAGCAAGGUGAAGGGGAUUGGUAAGGAGAAAAUGGGAUUGUACAUUCUUAAGAAGGUUUGUGGAUUGAAUGAAGCACACGAAAGAAGUUCUCAAAGGCUGCUGGUUGUAAAAGUAGAUAUGCAAGACUGCAACUUAUGGCAUAGAAAGCUUGGGCACCCUUCUUCUCAGGCUUUGAAAUUACUUAGUCUAAUAAGACACAAAACAGACUUAAAGGUUCUAAAUAAAUUCCAUCUCUGUCCACUAGCUAAACAAAAUAGAAUACCAUUUCCUGUUAGUGAUUCUAGAGCUGUGAAGCCUUUUGAUGUAGUAUAUAUGGAUCUUUGGGAGCCUUACAAAGUCCCUACUUUUGAUAAGAAGCACUACUUUCUGACUGUAGUAGAUGAUCAUAGUAGGUACACUUGGCUUCACUUGUUACAGUUGAAAUCUGAAUGUAUUGUGGUUGUUAAAAACUUCUAGAAUUUGAUAAGAAAUCAAUUUGGUGCUCAAAUAAAAGUUCUAAGAUCAGAUAAUGGAACAGAAUUUAUAAACUCACAAUGUAGAGGGUUAUUUCAAUCCUUGGGUGUAUUGCAUCAAAGUAGCUGCCCCUACACACCACAGCAGAAUGGGAUUGUUGAAAGAAAGCACAGGCAAAUACUAAAUAUUGCUAGAGCUAUCAGGUUUCAAUCUCAGAAGCUAUCAAGUUUUGGGGAUUGAAUGUCAAGGCUGCAAUUUAUCUUAUGAACAGGUUACCUUCUUCAUCUAUUGGAGGUUUAUGAAGUGCUAUUCUGUAGAAUUCCCUCACUGACACAUCUCAGAGCUAUUGGCUACAAGUGUUAUGCCUCAGUACUACCCAGAGGAGAUAAGUUUGCUGAAAGAGCCAAGCCUACAGUACUCAUGGGAUAUUCUACUUCUAAAGGCUAUUAGUUGAUGGAAUUGCUUACUAACAAACUAUUCGUUACAAGAGAUGUUGUGUUUCAAGAACACUUGUUCCUUUUUGCAGACAAGACUACUUCAGAGUUGUCUACUAACUUUCUCACAAUAAGUGAGAAUGAAUGUGCAGAUGCAGACAUGGAUGAUCAUGUAGAUUCACCUGUUAUACCAGAGUCUCGUCACCAGAUGCCUAUGUCUUCAGAUGAGAAUAUGAAUAUUUCUAAUGUUCCAGCUAGCAUACUAGAUAAUGCUCCCUCCAACUCAUCAGAUGCUACUGCAUCAACCUCACAACCUGAUGUACCUGCACCAAGAAAAUCAAUCAGAGUACACAAGCAACCUGUUUGGAUGAUGGACAAGAUAUCCCUUAGCCAAUAUGUCUUAUGCUAGGACAAGUCUUAGUUAUCAGUAUUUUGUGUCCAAUUUGUCAGUAUUAGUUGAACCUCAAACAUAUAAUCAAGCAGUUAAGGAUGAAAGGUGGAUUGAAGCUAUGAAAGCAGAGGUGAAGGCACUUGAAGAUAAUCAUACUUGGGAGGUGGUUGACUUGCCACAAGACAAAAAUAUCAUAGGGUCAAGAUGGGUAUACAAGAUCAAGUAUAAAGCCAAUGGAGAGGUUGAAAGAUUCAAAGCCAGACUAGUAGCUAAAGGAUACAGUCAGCUACAAGGGUUGGACUAUCAUGAUACUUUCUUACCAGUAGCAAAGAUGGUUACUGUAAGAAGUGUCAUUGCUCUGGCAGUUUCAAAAGGUAGGUGCAUAUACCAGAUGGAUGUCUACAAUGCUUUUUUGCAAGGUGAUUUAGAUGAGGAAGUGUAUAUGGAAUUACCAGAUGGAUUCAAGAAAGAAGGGACACACAAUGUUUGCAGAUUAGUGAAGUCCUUAUAUGGACAAGCCUAGUUUCUCUCAAAGCACAUAUGAUUAUUCUCUUUUCACUUUGAAGAGAUCAGAAGAAAUAGUGGUGAUAUUGGUAUAUGUAGAUGAUCUUCUUGUUACAGCAAACAAUGAUGCCAUGAUAAAUAAGGCAAAGGGAAUACUACAUCAGCAGUUCAAACUCAAAGAUCUUGGAGAACGAAAGUAUUUUCUAGGCAUUGAAGUGUUGAGAUCUACAAAAGGGGUUAUAUUAAACCAAAGGAAGUACAUUUUGGAGCUCAUUGCUGACACAGGACUUGCUGGUGCAAAACCAGCCCUUACUCCAAUGGAAACCAAUGCCAGGCUGACAUUAGUAGAAGUAGACAAUGCAGUGGGAGUUACAGAAGAUGCUAUUCUUCAAGAUGUUACAUCCUAUCAAAGGUUGGUUGGGAAGCUAAUGUAUGCAACUAUUACAAGACCAGACAUCAGCUAUGCAGUACAAACUUUAAGCCAGUUUAUGCAGCAACCUAAGAAGUCUCAUUUGGAAGCUGCAAACAGGGUUGUGAGAUACUUGAAAGGCACUGUGGGACAAGGUGUUUGGCUUAAGGCUCAACCUACAUCUGAGCUUGUGUGCUGGUGUGAUUCAGAUUGGGUUGCAUGUCCAAAUACAAUGAGAUCUGUUACAGGUUAUGUAGUACAUUUUGGUGGUUCUCUGAUAUCUUGGAAGUCAAAUAAACAGCACACAGUAUCCAGAUGGCUUCAGCUUUAUCAGAAAUCACUUGGCUGGAAGGUCUGUUUUCAGAACUAGGUGUAUCUAUCAGUAAACCUAUCACAAUAUUCAGUGACAGCAAGUCUACAAUAUAGUUAGCAGCCAAUCCCAUUUUUCAGGAAAGAACAAAGCACAUUGAAGUUGACUGUCACUUCAUUAGAGACAAGAUCAAGGAGGGAUUGGUUCAGCCUGUGUAUGUUCCAACCAAUCACCAAGUUGCUGACAUCCUUACCAAAAGUUUGACUCAAGAUCAGCACCUACACCGUGUGAGCAAGCUUGGUGUGCUAAACAUUUUGCACCCUUCAGCUUGACGGGCAGUGUUAAAAUGUAUUAGUUAUUGAUCACUUUUCUGAGUUAGCUCAUUAGCUCUUUUGCUGUUUUUCUGGUUGUUACUGUUACAUUGAUAAAAGGUUGGUUAGCCAAGUUAGUUAGUGAAGUUAGUGGAGGCACCAAGUUAGUGGUUGCUGAUUAGAUUAGUUAUCCAAGUUGUUAGAGUUAGUUAGGAAUGUUCUAGAAGCUCAUGUGACAUACAUGUGAGCCUAUAAAUAGCAACCAUGCUCCCCUCAUUGUAUACUCUCACCACUUGAAUAACAAUCUCUUAGCACUUUCCUUUUUCUCUUCUCUACUUCAAUGGCUUCCGUGUGUGUGAGAGAGCAUUGUAAUGCAUCAAUUUAACACGAAGCAAUAAAUCGAGUCAAACAAAGUUGAAUCUUGAAUCGAAUUUGAGGAUUGCAGUACAUUAUCGAGUCCAUUGUGGCCCCAAAAUCGGUUAUGGUU
rnacentral:lncRNA from 1 species